rnacentral:rRNA from 1 species
UACGUAGGGUGCAAGCGUUAAUCGGAAUUACUGGGCGUAAAGCGUGCGCAGGCGGUUUUGUAAGCCAGAUGUGAAAGCCCCGGGCUCAACCUGGGAACUGCGUUUGGAACUACAAGACUAGAGUGUGUCAGAGGGGGGUGGAAUUCCGCGUGUAGCAGUGAAAUGCGUAGAUAUCGGAAGGAACAUCAGUGGCGAAGGCGACCGCCUGGCCUAAGACUGACACUGAGGCACGAAAGCGUGGGGAGCAAACAGGAUUAGAAA